AAUAAUCAGAAAAUCUGACUCUUGCUUGCACCUAGCAUGUCAUCCAUCCCCUAGUAUCUGUAAAUGUGAAUGUAGGGUUGUAUUUCUGCAUAACCCCCAAAAUGGGUUCUAGUAAUCAGAAAAUUCGACCAUUGCUUGCACCUAGUAUGUAGUCCAUCUCCGUAGUAUUAACGUAUUGUUGUUAUCCAUUUUUUUUUACCAAAAAUACUAUAUAUUUUUUUUAAUUUCAACCUCAUUUUCGUUAAUAUAUUAUUUUCAAAUGUUUGAUUUUUUUUUUAUCUGGUCGUUCUUGAGAAAUAGUAUGUUUGAUCACUAGAAGCUCAAUGAUUCAUUUUCCAGUUAUCAUUAAAAAAAUUAUUUUGAUAUAGAAGUCUUUAAUCAUAAUAUUUACAUUAUAUGAAAUUUAGUCAUGAAUCGUUUUAUAAGUUUACAAAACAUAGAUUAUUCAACGCUUAAAAAAUAUUUUAAUAUCGCUGGGGUAAAAAUAUAAUUCUUGGUUACAACAUUUUUCUCAUGUUUCUAUAUUCAUGUUCUAUUUAAAAAAUAUAUAUCAUCACAAUUCCCAUAAAUAACUUAAUUCUCGUAUAUAAAAUACAAUAAAUAAUAUAAAAUACACAGUCAGAAUCAUUGAUAUUUGACGUUAAUAAUUAUAAUUUGUGUUAUAGGAAUUUAUGGAUCUAGGAGACAAAUUUGUAACGAGGAGGGAGCCGGAGCCGGAGCCGGAUAAGAACGAGACGAAAAAGAAGAAGAAAUUGAAGAAGAAGAAGAGAUAGGGUUGACGUGCUUGUAUGGGGAAUAGAAUGGAAAGAAUAAUUAAUAUGAUGCGGAAAAUGUGACCAAAUCUUGAGGUAAUGUGAAAAAGGUGCAAAGUGUGAUGAUUAUAACUAUACAAUGAGCCAAUGAGGUGACCUUGGUCUGUAUGAAUGCUACACGGACGAGUAAGAAGAUAAUCUGGUUUAUAAUUAAAUGGAUUAUUAAAUUAAAAUCUUUGUAAUUAUAGUAAUAUAGAAGGUG
rnacentral:lncRNA from 1 species